GAUCCUGGCUCAGGAUGAACGCUAGCUACAGGCUUAACACAUGCAAGUCGAGGGGCAGCAUUGGAGUAGCAAUACUCAGAUGGCGACCGGCGCACGGGUGAGUAACACGUAUCCAACCUGCCGCUUACUCGGGGAUAGCCUUUCGAAAGAAAGAUUAAUACCCGAUGGUAUAAAGAGUUCGCAUGUUCUCUUUAUUAAAGAAUUUCGGAAGCGAUGGGGAUGCGUUCCAUUAGAUAGUUGGCGGGGCAACGGCCCACCAAGUCUACGAUGGAUAGGGGUUCUGAGAGGAAGGUCCCCCACAUUGGAACUGAGACACGGUCCAAACUCCUACGGGAGGCAGCAGUGAGGAAUAUUGGUCAAUGGACGCGAGUCUGAACCAGCCCAAGUAGCGUGAAGGAUGACUGCCCUAUGGGUUGUAAACUUCUUUUAUAAGGGAAUAAAGUGAGGGACGUGUCCCUUUUUGUAUGUACCUUAUGAAUAAGGAUCGGCUAACUCCGUGCCAGCCGCCGC
rnacentral:rRNA from 1 species